CCCACCGCAGGGUGCUCCGGUACCAGCCACGGUCUGGACAUGAGCACAAGGAACCAGCUCUUCUGCUUUGCCUUUAGUCUUUCCUUGUGUUGAAGAGUCAGACUGGCAAUAAAAUGCACUUGGACUGUCGUCACUGCCCUACCAUGAGGGGCCGCGCCUGGGCUGUCAUUUCUCCAGGGCCGGGACGUGCACCGCAGGGCAGGGACCCACUUAGUUGCCGCAGGUAACAGGGCACUUGGAACUACGGAAGAGCUUGUACAGCUGCUUCUGGUUCCGCCUGGCUCGUUUCCUGGGAAGUCCGUGACUUGCGGCCGUAGGACGGACACCUCCGUGGGAAACCAGCUUCAGGAAAGACUUGCAAGCAGACGACUGGCUCCACCACACGCAACCAGUGAAAACUGGCACGAGUCCGCUUAGUCGAGCCCCAGAAAGGUUAGCUGGUUCUGAAAGCAUGUCUGCCCUCAGUGAGCAAAUCUUUUAACUGGAGACCCCAGACAAGAAGCCCCGCGUCUGAGCUCACCACGCCCCCUACCGCCGGGCCUCCCUGACGACCUCACAAGCACGGGGGGCCCGGAGAAGGGAGCCAGUGUCCUCACCAAGUGUGGCUGUAAGCUCCCUAUCUGCCACAAAUUCUCAAGCAAGCACACGGAUGUCUCCGGAAAGGCUUUCCUCCUCGUCCCGGGAAAGCCCCAGCGGUGCCUCGGGCACGUCCUCCCCGUGCAGUGACGUGCAGGCAAUGGCAUCCCGUAGGAGGGCUUCACGGGGGUGUUCUCCGUGCUCGCCUUCCGACCAGUGCAACGAGGAAGGUCCUUCCCGGAUGCCCAGGCCCUGGUCCACGGUCCCACCCAGGGGGUACAGAGGGGACCGACAGGGUCUCUCCAGCCUCAAGAGGGGAGCAAGUCAGUCUGGGGUGGUGGGAGGGGUCCUCUUCUCCAGGACGAAAUGUCACCCACUCGAUUCUAUCACUUAUUUGCAACAAGUCAAGAAUGUCCAUCACUUCCCUCGGCGAUGCAGUCUGUGCCGGUGACCGUGCGGUCAGGGCCAGGGAGCGACCAAGCCCAGAGGGCAACCACGGCCGCAGUGUAGCCACCCUGUGACACGGGAGCAGUGCACUGCCUUUUCGUGAACACGAGUGAAGGGCAGGAGGUGGGAAACAAUCGAGCCUUUUAUCCUGUCCGUGCCAGGGACCCUGGUCAAGGCAGGCGCUUCAAGGAUGGUGGGUGGCUUUUUAACUUCGACGCACAAGGCAGCUUCGCGGUCGGAAUUCUGAUCAGUGAUACUCUAGAACCACACAGAUCACGAACAGCCCCGGAUAAAUAAAGGACAGAACUGUUGUUAAUCCUGUUUAUUAAAAAGGGUCCUACAGCUUUACAACCCCAGCUCAGGCCUGGCCCUGGAGUGAGGCCAGCCCUUCACCACAUCGACACCGAGCUCACGCCCUUGGCUCCACCCCGUGUGGGCUUGUGGGCGUCCCCCCACCGGCCUCGGGGUAGGCAGCAGAGGUACGGGGGGGGGGGGGGGGGGGGGAGGGGAGGGGCGGGCCCUGAUCUCCAGAUUCGCAAAACAUGGCAGGCACGCCCAGCCCAUUCGGCUGUGACAGUCCAGGAGAACCAUAUGCUAACUGAAGACACAGGUUGGUGGCCUCGCCUCUGGCCUGCUGCGACAGACCCCGUUUGAGCACUGCCUCCAGUCUGUCACCAGGGCAGGCGAGAGCCCAGAGGGCCGGGAGGAGCCAGGGGAGUUCCCAGAGCGUCUGCCCAUCCUGGUGCUGGCUUUCUCCAAAGCGUGACGCCAUGCUGCCGGACUCCCUCUGUCCCCCUCCCACCCUGAGGCCCAAUCAGAGGCAGAGAAUAUUGGCUACGAGUAUCCUGGUUCAAGACGGGACAGAAUUCUUCCACCUGCAACACGACGACCUUGGACAAGCCCCUCUGGGAACACAGAGCCAGUAGUGAGAGCUACCCCUCAGCCUG